AAAGUCCUGAGAUGUGCGUGAAGCUUAUCAUGUUCAACCUACAUUAUAUAUACGGGAUUUGCGACAAUUUCUAUGGCUGUCGGGCUUUAUUUACUAGAAGAAGACAAAAGUAGAAUGAGCUUAACCCACCUGCGAGACGCAGGUAUGAAUAUAUAGGCAAACGGCAUGUUGGGAAGUAA
rnacentral:other from 1 species